rnacentral:tRNA from 1 species
UCCCUGGUGGCUCAGUGGUAAAGAAUCUGCCUGCCAAUGCAGGAGACCUGGGUUCAAUCCCUGGUUUGGGAA